rnacentral:lncRNA from 1 species
GGGUAUUUACGAGGGUGCUGAUACUGUCAGUUGUCACUGAUCCUAUCCCAGCUCAUAAACCCUGAGGUCUUCACUUUGGUGGUCCCUCAUGGUCCGAUCUUGACCCGGAUAAACGACCUCCCUCUCCCUACCUUGUGAACUCUCACCUCUCUUCAGUGCAGAGCCGUUGGAGGUGCGUUGGUACCGGCCUGGUAACUUCAACCGACCUGCCUUGUUAUAAAAGGACCACAGCAUCCAGGCAUCUAUGGACCCCCGUUACAGGAGCAGGGUGUCUCCAACUGGGGGGCUGGAGAGAGGGAACGUGUCCCUGACACUGGAGAGGGUCACACUGGAAGACAGGGGGGAGUAUGUGUGCCGUGUCAGCAGCGAACAGUGGUAUGAAAAGGCCAGUGUGUCCCUCACACUGAUUGUAUUAGGUGGUAUCCCUGUUUUGUCUCUUGCUGAAGCAAGAGGAGGAGGAGGCCAGGUGAACAUCACCUGUCCAUCAGUGGGCUGGUCACCUCAACCUAAACUCACCUGGAAAAACAAAGGCGCAGAGCUCAGAAAUGUACAAGAAGUACUCUACACACAUGAUUCUCAGGGCUUGUUGAGUGUCAGUAGUUGGCUGCUGUAUUCUCCCUCAGACUCCGAUUGGCUCUCCGAUUGGCUCUCCGAUUGGCUCUCCUGUACAAUCUCCCUGUCUGAGGAGGAGAGAGAGAGAGAGAGAGAGAGAGAGCAGAAUCCUGCCACAGAUAUACCAGCCUGGUGA